GCGGCAGGCUUAAUACAUGCAAGUCGAACGGUAACAGGUCCAGCAAUGGAUGCUGACGAGUGGCGCACGGGUGCGUAACGCGUAUGCAACCUACCUUUAACCGGGGAAUAGCUCCGAGAAAUCGGAAUUAAUACCCCAUAACAUUUUGAAAGGACAUCCUUUUAAAAUCAAAGCUCAGGCGGUUAUUGAUGGGCAUGCGUGACAUUAGCUUGUUGGUGAGGUAACGGCUCACCAAGGCACCGAUGUCUAGGGGUUCUGAGAGGAUUAUCCCCCACACUGGUACUGAGACACGGACCAGACUCCUACGGGAGGCAGCAGUAAGGAAUAUUGGGCAAUGGACGCAAGUCUGACCCAGCCAUGCCGCGUGCAGGAUGACUGCCCUAUGGGUUGUAAACUGCUUUUAUACGGGAAAAAACCCCUGAACUUGUUCGGGGCUGAUGGUACCGUAAGAAUAAGGAUCGGCUAACUCCGUGCCAGCAGCCGCGGUAAUACGGAGGAUCCAAGCGUUAUCCGGAUUCAUUGGGUUUAAAGGGUGCGUAGGCGGGGUGGUAAGUCAGUGGUGAAAUCCUACAGCUUAACUGUAGAACUGCCAUUGAUACUGCUAUCCUUGAGUACAUUUGAAGUGGACGGAAUGUGUCAUGUAGCGGUGAAAUGCUUAGAGAUGACACAGAACACCGAUAGUGAAGACAGUUCACUAAACUGAAACUGACGCUGAGGCACGAAAGCGUGGGGAUCAAACAGGAUUAGAUACCCUGGUAGUCCACGCUGUAAACUAUGAUUACUCGAUGUGUGCGAUACACUGUACGCGUCUUAGCGAAAGCAUUAAGUAAUCCACCUGGGAAGUACGGCCGCAAGGUUGAAACUCAAAGGAAUUGACGGGGGCCCGCACAAGCGGAGGAGCAUGUGGUUCAAUUCGAUGAUACGCGAGGAACCUUACCUAGGCUCAAAUGUAGGAUGACAUCUCGAGAAAUCGGGAUUCUCUUCGGAGCAUCUUACAAGGUGCUGCAUGGCUGUCGUCAGCUCGUGCCGUGAGGUGUUGGGUUAAGUCCCGUAACGAGCGCAACCCCUAUUCUUAGUUGCCAUCAGGUAAUGCUGGGGACUCUAAGAAAACUGCCUACGUAAGUAGUGAGGAAGGUGGGGAUGACGUCAAGUCAGCACGGCCCUUACGUCUAGGGCUACACACGUGCUACAAUGGCCGGUACAAAGGGUCGCUACCUGGUGACAGGAUGCUAAUCUCUAAAACCGGUCUCAGUUCGGAUCGAAGUCUGCAACUCGACUUCGUGAAGUUGGAUUCGCUAGUAAUCGUGUAUCAGCAAUGAUACGGUGAAUACGUUCCCGGGCCUUGUACACACCGCCCGUCAAGCCAUGGGAGUCGGGAGUACCUGAAGUCGAUAACCGCAAGGAGUCGCCUAGGGUAAAACCGAUGACUGGGGCUAAGUCGUAACAAGGUA
rnacentral:rRNA from 1 species